rnacentral:rRNA from 1 species
UUGACAUGUCCGGAAGCCUCGCUGAAAGGCGGGGGUGGCCUGAAAGGGAACCGGAACACAGGUGCUGCAUGGCUGUCGUCAGCUCGUGUCGUGAGAUGUUGGGUUAAGUCCCGCAACGAGCGCAACCUGUCCCUAGUUGCUACGCAAGGGCACUCUAGGGAGACUGCCGGUGACAAACCGGAGGAAGGUGGGGAUGACGUCAAGUCCUCAUGGCCCUUAUGGGUAGGGCUUCACACGUCAUACAAUGGUCGGUACAGAGGGUCGCCAACCCGCGAGGGGGAGCCAAUCCCACAAAGCCGAUCGUAGUCCGGAUUGCAGUCUGCAACUCGACUGCAUGAAGUCGGAAUCGCUAGUAAUCGUGGAUCAGCAUGUCACGGUGAAUACGUUCCCGGGUCUU